GUUUUCUUGGCAGGGAUACUGGAGUGGCUUGCCGGUUCCUCCUCCAGGUUCAAUUAACACAGGAACACAAGGAGCUGCCUUAUACGAAGCCAACCCAUUGGUCCAUCUGUCUGAGUGUCAUCUAUGCUGACUGGUAGUAGCUCUCCAGGGUUUCAGACAGGGGACAUUUCAAGCCCUACCUGCAGGUGCUUGUGGAUUGUACCUGGGACCUUCUGCACACAAAACAGAUGCUCUAACUCUGCGCUAUGACCCUUCCUCAAGUUCACUCAUGCUCAUACUUUCUCAGCACGGGUGUAUGAUAAGUGGUGACUACAUGUGUGACCUAGCUCCAUUGAAAGAAAGGCACUGAAUCUGAAAUGCUAAAGAAGAGACAACACCACUGACAGCACUUUCCUAUCUGUGACAACCCAUUCACACAUGACACAAGCAAUCACCCGGUUACACAGCUCCACGCAGCAUCCUUUCCCAGGGUGAAUGUAUGACUUUUGGGAGCGCUCUGAAUUUGCAGCAUCAAAUUGACCCUAUCAGGAAUAGGAGUUGAGAUGCAGUGUUGUGAUCUCCUGGUCUAGGGAGGUCUCCAGGACCUUUAACAGCAUCUCGUCAAGGUGAAGUUCAUUUGCUGCAAGUUCCUUUCCCAUCACCACAUUGUCAAAGAAGCAGUCAUUCCUUCUGGAGUUCAGACCGCUGCAUAGCUAUUAAACAUUCAGGAGUUCCAGUUGCAUUUCUAGUUGUAAGGUAGGAGCUACAAGUUUACAACUGCUUCUUGCUGAAUCACUAGCUGUUCCUGGAUGCAAAUACUUCCCAAUCCCUACUUCCAGUUUUGUGCAAUUCCAUUUUGUUCCUCAUUUGGUGAUUGUUGUUCGAACGUCAUCGUUUGUGACCUUUAAGUAUUGUACUGUGCUUAUGGUGUGUAUAUGUAUAUAUGGUAACCAGAUAUUCUGGGGCAAAGAAUUUGACAAAGUGGGUGCCACCACCAAAAGUACCUUAUGUUGUGUAGCUGCUCACUGUAUCUCUGUUAGGCCCACAUACAUGAAUAGUUUGAGCUCUGAAUAAUUUUGAGCAUUUGUGGUCUCCAACAAAUUGGAAAAUUAACUCAGGAACUACCAUUUGUAGUCAACGCUUACAGUUUUCUUGAUACAGUUUGAGUACUUCAAGUGGGGUUACCAAUUUGCAGUCUCUGAAAUUUGGACAGCCCAAUAUUCAUAUUAUGCAACUAUUGCUAAUUAUAACAAUUUAAUAUACUAUUAUUUAUCCAGGCCAGAGGUGUUUUAGGACCAGUGAGUCAAUCCAUUUCCUCCAACUUGUAAACCACUUACGGUAGAUUUCUUGUAAACUGCUUAGAGGUUUUAUUACAAUAAUAUUACAAUGUGUAUGGUAUACACAUUUUGUUAUAUAAAAUAAAUAAAUCUUGCUUCGAUCACCCAA